UACGAAGGGUGCAAGCGUUACUCGGAAUUACUGGGCGUAAAGCGUGCGUAGGUGGUUUGUUAAGUCUGAUGUGAAAGCCCUGGGCUCAACCUGGGAAUUGCAUUGGAUACUGGCAGGCUAGAGUGCGGUAGAGGAUGGCGGAAUUCCCGGUGUAGUGGUGAAAUACGUAGAGAUUGGGAAGAACACCAGUGGCGAAGGCGGCUAUCUGGACGGUUUCUGACGCUAAGACGCGAAAGCGUGGGGAGCAAACAGG
rnacentral:rRNA from 1 species